rnacentral:rRNA from 1 species
CACGUAGGCGGGUUUGUAAGUAGGGGGUGAAAUCCCAGGGCUCAACCCUGGAACUGCCUUCUAGACUGCAAGCCUGGAGGUCAGGAGAGGCGAGUGGAAUACCGAGUGUAGAGGUGAAAUUCGUAGAUAUUCGGUGGAACACCAGUGGCGAAGGCGACUCGCUGGACUGAUACUGACGCUGAGGUGCGAAAGCGUGGGGAGCAAACA